AUUGAACGCUGGCGGCAGGCCUAACACAUGCAAGUCGAACGAGCGGCGGACGGGUGAGUAAUGUAUGGGAAACUGCCCGAUGGAGGGGGAUAACUACUGGAAACGGUAGCUAAUACCGCAUACCAUCGGAUGUACCCAGAUGGGAUUCGCUUGUAGGUGGGGUAACGGCUUACCCAGGCGACGAUCCCUAGCUGGUCUGAGAGGAUGACCAGCCACACUGGGACUGAGACACGGUCCAGACUCCUACGGGAGGCAGCAGUGGGGAAUAUUGCACAAUGGGCGCAAGCCUGAUGCAGCCAUGCCGCGUGUAUGAAGAAGGCCUUCGGGUUGUAAAGUACUUUCAGCGGGGAGGCGUUACCGGAAGAAGAAGCACCGGCUAACUCCGUGCCAGCAGCCGCGGUAAUAG
rnacentral:rRNA from 1 species